rnacentral:misc_RNA from 1 species
GAUGAAGACGUAGCGAAAUGCGAUACUUGGUGUGAAUUGCAGAAUCCCGUGAACCAUCGAGUCUUUGAACGCAAGUUGCGCCCGAAGCCAUUAGGCCGAGGGCACGCCUGCCUGGGUGUCACACACCGUUACCCUCGCGCCAACGUCCAUCGUUGGCCGCGGCGCGGGGCGUGCGCUGACCUCCCGCGAGCGGGGUCUCGUGGUUGGUUGAAAAUCGAGUUCGCGGUCGAGGGUGCCGUGAUGAAAUGGUGGAUGGGCGACGCCCGAGGCCAAUCACGCGCGACUCUGUCCGGGUCGGACUCCUGGACCCCUUCGGCGUCUCCGGACGCUCUUUGGCGAGACCUCAGGUCAGGCGGGGCUACCCGCUGAGUUUAAGCAUAUCAAUAAGCGGAGGA